rnacentral:rRNA from 1 species
UAUAAUAAAAUUAAAAUAAUUUAAUCAAUUUAAUAAAUUUAUUUUAUUUUUAUUUUAUUUUUAAUAAACUGAAAAGGAAUUUAUUAUUAUAAUUUAAUAGAAAAAUUAAUGUACCUUUUGCAUUAGGGGUUUUUAAAAAAAAAUAAAAUUUUAUUUUUCUCGAAAUAUUUUGAGCUAAAAUUUAAUUUUUCUAAUGUUUCAAUAUUAAAAUAAAAUAAAUUUUAGAGGUGAAAUUCUUAUCAAAAAAUAUAAUAUCUAGUUAAAAAAAAUUAAUUAAAUAUUAUUUUGUAAAUAUUAAUUUAUUUUUUAAAACUACAAAAAAAAGUUUUUGGGAUAAGCUAAAAAUUAUUAAAUUUAUAAUAUUUUAAAAAAUAAUAAAAGAAUUAAAAUUUUUCUAUUUAUUUUUAUAAAUAAAUUAAGUUAAAUUGAAAUAAAAGAAUUUAUUUUUUUAAAUUAAAUUUAAUUAAAAAUUUAAAAAAAAAUGAAAAUAUUAGUAAAAAAUUUUUUUUUGUAAUUAUUAAUAAUUAAUUAAAAAUUAAUUUAAUUUAAUUUAAUUUUUAAGAACUAGGCAAUUAUUUUUUUUGACUGUUUAAUAAAAACAACGCAUUUAGAUAAACAAUAAAUGCAAAUCCUGCUCAAUGAAAUUUUUUUUAAAUUGCUGUAGUAUUUUGACUAUACAAAGGUAUUGAAAUAAGAUUUUAAUUGAAUGCUAAGAGAAUGGAAUAUCAAAAAACAACUUUCUUAAAAUUAAAAAUUGAAAUUUUUUUAAUUUGUGUAAAAACAAUUAUAAAAAUUAAAGACAAGAAGACCCUAAGAAUUUUUAAAAUUUAAAUAAUACAUUUUUUGUUUUAAUUAAAUUUUAACUGGGGCGGUUAAAAAAUAUUAAAAACUUUUUAAUUUAAAAAUGACCCAUUAUUAAUGAAAAUAUGAUUAAAUACUCUAGGGAUAACAGCGUUAUAUUUUUUGAUAGAUCAUAUUGACAAAAAAGUUUGCGACCUCGAUGUUGGAUUAGGAUACUUUUUUAAUGAAGAUAUUAAAAUAAGAAGUUUGUUCAACUUUUAAAUUCCUACAUGAUCUGAGUUUAGACCGAUGAGAAUCAGGUUGGAUUCUAUCUUAAUAAAAAACAAAUUUUAUUUAGUACGAAAGGAAUUUUAAAAUCUAAUUUUUAGUUUUAUUUAUUUAUUUUAUUUGCAUCAAUUUUUGUAAUU